GGGGAUGCAAGGCAUAGACAGUAGGCCUUUUGUCAUUGAUGCAUACCGAGCAUGAACGUAACCUCGUAAAACUUCGUUCAAUAGCUUAAUUGCAAAAUUAGCUUCCAAAGUGAGAGCAAUUGUUUCUCCGUACUUUACGCCGAACCAGUUUGCUUUCGCUUCAGUUUCGGCUUACGCCUAACUGAUGUCUCUCUUAUAGACUUCCGAUAUAUAAGGGGCUAAAUUCGCCUUUGGCGGAUCGCUUGAACAUUUGUAAACAAAUGUUUUAGGGGCACAAUAUUAUCGGGAUAAGGAAAUACCUGUUCGAGUAUUUCACGAAAACCUAGAACUCGAUUAAAAAAUAUUUGGCUCGUUUAAGAAUUUUUUAAUUUAAACCAAAAAGCGAGCUAUGUAUGUAGAUUUCUUUGCAAAAACCUUCUGCACACGAGUUCAAUUCUCGUCAUCUCCACCA
rnacentral:tmRNA from 9 species